CACCGUACCACCACCAUCUUCACUCUUCACACACACAUCACCGGACAAACUACAGGAUUGUUAUAUUCCGUCGCCAUGACUGCCGUGAAAAGUUCUGCUAACGAUGCCGUUUCAGUGAACGCUGCGGUUGCUGGAGAUUUACGAGAUCGGAAAACGAUGACGUCGUGGAAGGUUUUGAAAGAGAUUGAGACGGAUCUGGAGAGUAAUGCAUCUUCGUCUGAGGAUAUGGAGUAUUACUCUCCGAAGUCGGUUGUCGCAAAGAAGUGGCCGGUAACGGUGAAAGAGGUUAAUCUUUCCGGCGUUCGUUUUUGUGACCAGGUUACGAGGAUUAGAGCUGAGGAUUCGCAGAUCGGAGAAGAUAUUGGUGAAUUUUGUAUAGGGAAGUUUGGUGGCGCCGGUAAUGGUCGUGUGGAUGUUAUGAUAUUCUCCAGGCGGCCUUCGCCUCUCAGCGGCAAGGAGGUGACGCCGUCGAUCAAAACCGAACACUGAAUUCGCAACAUGUUCGUCUUUUCUUUUGUCUCAUCACCGUAUAUAUAUAAUAUGCAUCUAGAACUGUAAUUGAGGUCAUGUAAUUUAAGGUCUGUCUCAGUAUGUGUUAUUAAUUCCGUAUAUAAUAUGCAUAUCGGAAAUUCUCCUUUCUGUUCCACUUAUCGAAGUUUAGCCACUUCUUUUCUCAUUUUGCAUAUGGAAUCACGAAAUAUGUUCUUAAAUUCAAUCAACGAUUUUGCUAUUCUCCUUUCUGUUCCUUUUAUCGAAGUUUAGCCACUUCUUUUCUCAUUUUGCAUAUGGAAUUGCAAAAUAUGUUCUUAAAUUCAUUCAACAAGUUUGCUUUCGAUCCAUGUAGUUUGUCAGAAAUAAUUGAAAUAACUUCCACUUGAAUCCAUAAUACUUUUGGUUGAUCAACAAAAUCUAUACAAUUGGCUGUGAUCACAAUCUCUGGUGAAGAGAUGCAGAGCAGGGAGAGUCACUUUGAAGUAGAGAGUUAGAAUUACUACUGUAAUUGGGGAAAAUAAAGUAUGUAAAGAGGGCAGAGCCGCAAGGUUUUCAUGUACAGUCAGAACUCGUAAGAAAUUAAAUAGAAAGAGCCCUCUCUCUUUGAUUUCA